rnacentral:rRNA from 1 species
UACGUAGGGUGCGAGCGUUAAUCGGAAUUACUGGGCGUAAAGCGUGCGCAGGCGGUUCUCCAAGUCCGAUGUGAAAGCCCCGGGCUCAACCUGGGAAUGGCAGUGGAAACUAGGGGACUGGAAUCUGGCAGAGGGGGGUGGAAUGCCGCGUGUAGCAGUGAAAUGCGUGGAGAUGCGGCGGAACACCGAUGGCGAAGGCAGCCCCCUGGGCUGAGAUUGACGCUCAGGCACGAAAGCGUGGGGAGCAAACAGG